ensembl:misc_RNA Metazoa_SRP Metazoan signal recognition particle RNA
GCUGGGUGCGGUGGCGCGCGCCUGUAAUCCAAGCUACCGGGAGGCUGAGGCUGGCGGAUCGUUUGAGCUCAGGAGCUCUGAGCUGCAGCGGACUAUGCCGAUCGGGUGUCCGCACUAAGUUCGGCAUCGAUAUGGUGCUCCUGGGGGAGCUCGGGACCACCAGGUCGCCUAAGGAGGGGUGCACCGGCCCAGGUCGGAAACGAAGCAGGUCAAAGCCCCCGUGCCGCUCAGUAGUGGGAUCGCGCCUGUGAAUAGACGCUGUAGUGCAGCCUGAGUAAUACAGCGGGACCCAGUCUUUU